rnacentral:rRNA from 1 species
AGUGAACGCUGGCGGUAGGCCUAACACAUGCAAGUCGAACGGCAGCACAGGAGAGCUUGCUCUCUGGGUGGCGAGUGGCGGACGGGUGAGGAAUACAUCGGAAUCUGCCCAGUCGUGGGGGAUAACGUAGGGAAACUUACGCUAAUACCGCAUACGACCUUCGGGUGAAAGAGGGGGAUCGCAAGACCUCUCGCGAUUGGAUGAGCCGAUGUCGGAUUAGCUAGUUGGCGGGGUAAUGGCCCACCAAGGCGACGAUCCGUAGCUGGUCUGAGAGGAUGAUCAGCCACACUGGAACUGAGACACGGUCCAGACUCCUACGGGAGGCAGCAGUGGGGAAUAUUGGACAAUGGGCGCAAGCCUGAUCCAGCCAUACCGCGUGGGUGAAGAAGGCCUUCGGGUUGUAAAGCCCUUUUGUUGGGAAAGAAAUCUUUCAGGCUAAUACCCUGGGAGGAUGACGGUACCCAAAGAAUAAGCACCGGCCAACUUCGUG